rnacentral:antisense_RNA from 1 species
CUUGGCAUUCCAGGCAAAGGAAGAGCCUGAAUGUGUCCUGACUUCUUGCUUAGCAAAAUUGGAUCACCCUGCACUUUGGGAGGCCGAAGCAGGUGGAUCACCUGAGGUCAGGAGUUUGAGACUAUCCUGGCCAACAUGCCUGAUUAUAGUAACUGGCUCUGAAUUGCUGCUUCUGCUCAACUUCCUGGAUGCUAGCAGUACCCAGGGAUGUAAAGACCUUUCAACUAGAGCUCAUAGCAGGCCCUUGUGUCUGAGAAUGACUGCUUCUGUGAUCUGAUGAGCACACGUGGUGUGCAUCCAGUGGCUCUGCUCUUAAACUAGGCCCAUGACUACCAACAGUCAUUCUUCCUGGGCUGCUGAGACCAGAAAAUGAAAGUGCCUUCCAAAUGCUUCACAGAUGCAGAGGAAUUUUGCCUCAGGAUGAAUUGCACCUUCAGUCUCACCCAAACCUGAUUUAGAUAAUAUUUCAAUGAGACUUCGGAUUUUAGACUUUACAGUUGAUGCUGCAAUCAGUUAACGCUUUUGAGAUUGUCGGAAUGGAAUGAAUGCAUUUUGCAUGUGAGAAGAACAUGAAGUGUGGGGGGGCCAUGGGCAGAAUAUUAUGGAUUGCAUGAUUUUGUCUCCCCAGAAUACAUAUGUUGAAAUUCUAAUCCCCAAUGUCAUGGUAUUAUGUGGUGGGAACUUUGGGAGGUAAUUAGGUUAUGAGGGUGGAGACCUCAUGUAAAGGAUUAGUGCCCUUAUAAGAAGAAACACAAGGGCUUGCUUCCUCUCUCUGCUCUCCACUAUGUGAAGAUAGAACAAGAAGAUGGCCAUCUGCAAACCAGGAAGAGAGCCCUCAUCAGACACUGGAUCUGCCAG